CCUGUCCCUGUCCCCAGCCCCUGCUGUCCCUGUCCCACACUCACUGAGGGUGUUUCUUGUACACAGAUCCGUCCACGCCCACGGUGGAGCGCAGCCUGGCCCUGUCCCUGUCCCCAGGCCCCUGUCCCACACUCACUGAGGGUGUUUCUUGUACACAGAUCCAUCCACGCCCACGGUGGAGCGCAGCUUGUCGCCGCCCUUGUUGUCGCGGAUGCGGCGCAGCACCGCGGCCAGCGUGGCCCCGCAGAGCGCGGCCGAGCGCGUGGACACGAUCUGGCAGAUGCGCAGCGUGGCCACGCAGUCCUCGUGCGACGGCUCCAGCCCCAGCUUGCUCAGGAUCUCGUGGGCUUUCUGCAGCCCCUCCUUCUCCCUGGAACCACAGAAAGGGAGUUCGUACCUGGCAGCGCAGCUUCUGUGAGUGGCAGCCCGGGCUGGGACACAGGAAACCCCUGGGUCCUACUUACUUCUCAAUGGCAGACACAAAUCUGGUCUCAAAGUGGCCCGUGGUGAGCAGAUCUGGCGUGAGCCUUCCCCCAAAGAGCAGCCCAUCCUUGGCCAUCUUCACCAGGAUGAGCCUGACCAGCUCCCCCAUGUACAUCCCGCUGAUCAUCUUCUCAAACCUGCCCGUGGGGAAGCAUGGGGUGGAAUCAGGGAAUGGUUUGGGCUGGUUUAGGACAGUCCUGGCUUAGUACAGCCCUGCUUUGGGACACAGCCCUGCUCUGGGACACAGCCCCGCUCUGGGACACAGCCCCUCUCUGCACCAGUGACAGAGGACACGCUGACCCAGUUAGCUGGGCUGACCUCCCCGGUCCCAGUAACUGUGGGAGGAUGGACAAUGCAGAGCAAACCACGAGCCCGAGCCAAGAAUGUGCUCACAAUUGUUUGCCAGGGUUGAGCGAGCCCAUGUCGAUCUCGCGGUCGAACUCGGUGCGGAUGUCGUUGAGCACCCCGUCGUCACCAAAGGCUCCCCACUCCAUGUUGAUGCACAUCCUGCCCUCGUCCCCCUCCACCAGGUCGAUGUGCCUCAUCUCCUCCAUGUAGCAGGCGUUGGUUCCAGUUCCUGGGCCAAGCAGGGGCACAGGAGACCCUGAGGCCUGCAAGAAGCAGGAUCUCCCUCUGGCUCUGCUGGAGCCCAGGAAACACCCCCAGAACAUCUUUCUCCUUGCUGCAGCUCACCAACAAUGAGGCCAACUUCACAGUUGUGGUCAUCAUAGCCACAGGUCAUCAUGGUGCCCACGGUGUCGUUCACCACGGCCACGAUGUCGAUGUCAAAGUCCUGACGUGGUGGAAAGGAGAGAGGCUGACCCAACAGAGACAAAACUGGCCAGAACACCUCCAGGGAGCCCAGGUGUCCCGGCCAGGAGCCGUGUGCCCCCAGCCCAGGCUCUUACCCCUCUUUUCUUGAUGGACCUGCGCAGCAGGGACACCACGUCCCUGCCCUCCACGCUGCUGCACUUGAACCCCUUGGUCCACGUCACGAGGAUGCUCUGCAGGGGAACAGCAAGAGGAGGCUUGGAGGUGACCCCUGGCUCCCAGCACGGGGCACAUGUGGCCCUGCAGGGGGGAGCCCCCCGUUAUCAGCUCACCAGCUGCGCUAUCAGCCGCAGCUUCCGUGCCAGAUAAAGUUUAUGGCCACCAAACAACAUGUGAGCUGCUCGUUGCUGCCCCAGCAGCAGGAACAUGCUUCCCAUGACCGGCUUUGAUUGAGCCCUGCAGCAAAACUUGUUCACGAGCCCAAGGAAUGCUCCUUGACCCAUCCCUGAGGGGUGGAUGGCUGGCUGUGCCUAUGGAAUGCUCCUUGACCCAUCCCUGAGGGGUGGAUGGCUGGCUGUGCCUAUGGAAUGCUCCUUGACCCAGCCCUGUGGGGUGAGGGGUUCCCUGUACCUACAGAACAACCCCUGAGCCAGCCCUGUGGGGUGGGGGGCUCUCUGUGCCUUUGGAAUGAGCCCUGUGGGGUGGGGGGCUCGCAGUCCCCUGUGGCCAGGGGCACCUGGCCGGGGGCUGAGCUGAGCCCUGGGGGGAGGAAAAGAACUCAGUUUCAAAGAUUUGAAAUCUCCAACCAAUUCCAACUCAGUUUCAAAGGUUUGAAAUCUCCAACCAAUUCCAACUCAGUUUCAAAGAUUUGAAAUCUCCAACCAAUUCCAACUCAAUUUCAAAGAUUUGAAAUCUCCAACCCUAUGGCCACAGCCCCUUAGGGAGGCAGACACCGGCCCAGCCUUAGAGCUGGGGAAACUGAGGCACUGAGCGCUGUGACCCCAAGCGGGGCCAGGGGGCACGGACCCUUCCUCCUGCAUUUCUGCAUUUCCUCAUCCCCGGGCCUGCAGGAGGAGAGCAUUAAUCCCUCCCAGAGCCACUGGGGCUCCAUGGAGUGCUGGGAGAGAGGACAGGGGGAUGUGCUGGGGCUGCUGAGCACCAUGGAGCCACCCCCUGCCCUUCCUAGAGGGGAGACAGAGAGGCAGCAUCACCCCCAGCCCCUGCAGAUCCCUUGGGGGGGAUAAGGGCAGACAGAGCCAGCAUCAGCCCCAGCCCCUGCAGAUCCCAGGAGAAAGGGACCCACCUCGUCCAGCUUGGUCUGGUGACAUGGGAAGGAGAAGGUGAAGCCCAGGGGGAGCUUCUUGUCUUUGAUUUGCAGCUUGUCCAGGAAGUUGGCCAAACACUCAGCAAUGUGGUCAAAAAGCUGGAGAAAAGGCAGAGAGUGACAAAAGGCCCCACUGUGAGGGGACGCCACAUCCCUGUGCCCAGCGCUGGCUGCCAGGGAUUCCCAGGAGCCCCCCAGGAGCCCACCUGGACCCCGCUGCCCCUCAUCAGCUCCUCGGGGAUGGCGUAGAUCUGGUUCUCCAUCUCCACCUUGCGCAGCCCGUUGUCCGACACCUUCACCCGCAGCACUCGGAAGUUGGUGCCCCCCAGGUCCAGGGCCAGGAAAUCGCCGUCCUCUGUGGGUCAGGACAAGGACAGCCCGUUCACUCCUCUGUGCACAGAGCCCUGAGCUCGCCACCCCCUCCCAGGCACCAGGGAAAGGUCAGGCUUUGAGUAUAUUUCAGUAUUUUAUCCAUUA